CACCGCGGUUAUACGAGAGACCCAAGUUGAGAGACCCCGGCGUAAAGCGUGAUUAAUAAUACAAACAUAUAUACACACACUAAAGUCGAACGCCUGCAAGACUGUUAUACGUCUCCGAAGGUAAGAAGCCCACUAACGAAAGUAACUUUAAAUUUUAUGAAUUCACGAAAGCUAUGAAA
rnacentral:rRNA from 1 species